GGGUUUGCAACAGCACAGAGCCCUCAGCACCAGAUGCUGAAGGGCAGAGAGUGAACAUGCUGUCCAUGGCUGUGUUGGGUUUGAGAGUCCUGCUGGCAAAGAGCAUCGCCUUCAACACCCUCCUGAGUAUCAAGUUGUUCCUUCUCUGAGUCAUGGGGAAUGAAGGCAAGAGGAGCCCGAGGAAGAGCAGGAAAGAACGUGAACCAGCAGCACAAGGGGCUGGAACAAGCAGGGCCAGAGCAGCUGACAGAGACCACCCAGGACACAAGGCAGCACCUUCCCCUGAAGACAUUGAACACUGGUCACUCCUGCCUGGCCAGCUGAUUUACACUGAAGAGUUUUAAGUGCUUUUGCUGUUUGCUCUCCUCUGAGACCUGACGGGAGUGCAUUUAUCCUCAUCCUCCUGCUAAGCAAUGUCCCCAUUCUCGUGGCAUUUGCACACAAGUGUCCCAGCUGCUUCAAUAGCUUUGAGAACUCCAAUGCUCUCUCUAGGUACGUGGCCUUUCAAAAGCACCUUUCCCAGGCAUGUUGUGGUACUGCCUGUGCAACUGCAGUAGUACUGCUGAGGGAAUUCAAGCCCAGCAGUUGCCAUUUGGAGCUUUGGCUUUUAGAUGGAUUUCAUAAGUGAGUACCGUAGAUGAGAAGAGCUGUGUAGGAUGGGAAGUGAUGUCAUUCAACCCCCUAAUGUUCAUUUCUUUACAAAGCCUGUAUUUCUUCUGCCAGAUGUAUCGUAUGAGCA